rnacentral:lncRNA from 1 species
CAACCCUAACCCGAAUCGUAAUCCUCAAUUCAAGGCCCCGCCGGCACCACCCUCUCCAAUCAAAUCGCCAAGUACUCCACUAUCUCCUCCAGUGAAGACCUCGCCUCCGCCAGCAACUCCUCCACCAUCACCAACUCAAAAGAAGACAUCUCCUCCACCUCGUCGGAGAAAGAAGAUUCCGCGUCCUCCACCACCACCCGUGUCAAAGGAGGAAGAGGACGAUGAGGCUCCGGCUCCAUCACCUAAACCUAUGAUCAAAGCACCAGCUCCGAGGCCUAAUCUGAUGGGGAAAGCACCUCCUCCAAAACCUAAUCUGGUGCCGAAAGCACCAGCUCCAAAACCUAAUCUGGGGCGGAAAGCACCGGCCCCACAUGCGAAGAAGAAGAGACUGCCUUUGCCACCACCUCGGAGGAAGAAGGCACUGCCUCCACUACCACCACCAUCCGAGCAGGAGGAGGAAACUUCGGUUUCCUUGCCUUUCAAAGAUGACGCAGUUUUGGCUCCUUCACUUAAACAACUGAGGAAAGCACCCGCUCCCAACCCCAACACCACCGCAACCCUUCCACCACCAAGCACACGUCAAUGCACGUGCACUCCUCCUGUUCCAGUAAUUAACAACCCUAACCCUAAUCGUAAUCCUCAGUUCAAGUCCCCACCGGCACCACCCUCUCCCGUCAAAUCGCCAAGUACUCCACGGUCUUCACCAGUGAAGACCUCGCCUCCGCCAGCAACUCAGAAGAAGGCAACUCCUCCACCAUCACCAACUCAAAAGAAGACAUCUCCUCCACCUCGUCAAAGAAAGAAGAUACCGCGUCCUCCGCCACCACCCCCGUCAAAGGAGGAAGAGGACGAUGAACCUCCGGCUCCCUCACCUAAGCCUCUGACCAAAGCACCAGCUCCGAGGCCUAAUCUGGUGGGGAAAACACCUCCUCUAAAACCUAAUCUGGUGCCGAAAGCACCUCCUCCAAAACCUAAUCUGAGGUGGAAAACACCGGCCCCACAUGCGAAGAAGAAGAGACUGCCUUCACCACCGCCUCGGAGGAAGAAGGCACUGCCUUCACUACCACCACCAUCCGAGCAGGAGGAGGAGAAGGAUACUCCGGUUUCCUCUUUCAAAGAAGACGCAGUUUUGGCUCCUUCACUUAAACAUCUGAGGAAAGCACCCGCUCCGACGCUUGAUUUCGUGUCGAAAGGACCUCCUAAGAUCAUAGCACUCUCUCCUGGUGUGGUGGCACUGGCAACAUGAUCUCCUAAGAUCAUAGCACCCCCUCCAUAACUGUGGGUGAAUUAAUGCACUGUCUCCGUCACUACGCUGAAACUGGAUCUCUCAUCCAUACAGAUUCGAGUGCCUUGAAAAUUUGAAAUAUACUCAUUUUGUUUCCUCUUCUUAAUUGAUACAAUAUGAGCUAUAUGCAAUUAUGUAUUGAAUAAACAAGAUCAUUUGUUUUUUUUAUGGAAACAAGAUCUUUUGUUUUUUUAUGGAGGCAAGAAAACUAAUAAAUAUAAUGGCCUUUUAUCAGUCCUUAAUUUAUAUGGAUUUUGAUCUAACAGGGAUGACUGAGCGAUCAUUUCAAGUGUUUUUCUUUCUUUUUGAAAGACACUUCAAUUCUUAAUACAAAAGCUAAUAUUCCACACUAAUGUUGUCCCAAAACUGUAAGAGAUUUUUUAGUUUGUCUUGGAAAACGGUGUGGUACACCGCAUAUCAUUACACGAGUAGAGGUACACUUGAAAAGUAAAUAUUUCCCCCCAGUUAUAUAAUGACAUGUAAUUUCCUUACACACUACAAAAUUUCUCCAAUAUUGUACGUAGCGUACUCAUACCGUGUAUAGUUAAUUGCCAAAUUUAGGAGAUUGUUAGUAACAUUAGAGAAGUGUCAUUGACACUUUAAGCAUCUCAUUGGGCACUUAUUUUCUUUUUGCGUUUACGUCUUUUCCUCUGGACGCACUGCUACUCUCUCCUUUGUGUUUCAAUAGAAAUUCCCCCAUGGUUGGAAGAAUCUUCAAAUCCAUUAAAGUUUUUCUUUCAUAUAUAAAUAUAUGGAGAAAUUAGGUUAACAAUCUUCUUUUUGAUACUCCAUUGAUUAAAAUUUUAUUCAUUUUCAAUUUUUGAUCAAGGUCAUUGGGUAUUAAUAACAUCAUUAAUUAUUUGAAUAAUAAAAUAUUUUUAUUUUUAAAUAUAUUCCUUUAGUGUUAAAAAAUGUUAAAAUUAGUAUAUUUAUAUUUAUGGCUAAAUUUUUUUAUCAUACAUUAUUAUUUUUAGUUUGUACCAAUUUUCUUUUCAUUUUUAAUUUGUAACCAUAUAUUAGUUUCUUUUUGUGCCCAUAUUUUUUGAAGUUUUAUUUGUGUUUGUACCCAUGUGUACACCGUCAUGUAACAUUGUAUAUUUAAUCAAUGAUAGAAAAAUUACAUAUGGUAUAUUUAUGUUUUAUGCCUAAACUUUGUAUCAUAUAUUUAUAUUUUUAGUUUGUACGCACUUUUAAUUUGCAAUUUUUUUUAAAUUUGUAGUAUUUUCUUUUUAGUUUUAUUUUGUACCCAUGUAUUAAUUUCUUUUAACACCUAUAUUUUUAAAAAAUUCAUUCAUACUCAUAAUUUUUUAAUCUUUUAUCUGCACCCUAAUUUAUUUAUAAUGUACCCAUUCUUCUUUAUUAUUGAACCACUUUGUUAUAUGUGAAAUGUACCAAUUUUUCUGUAAAACGUACCAUUUUUUUAACACUAUGGAUACAUUCUUUUGCCAUUUAUUAUUUCUUAUUUUUACAUAGUUUUUAUCCAUUUAUUCAAUCAAAAUGUUUGAAUUUUUUUUAUUGUAACCAUCUCUAAUAGUAUUAUAAUGAGGGAUUUUAAAUUUAUAGGAUUAUAAAUCUCAUAAAAUAUCAAACAAUUAAUGUCAAAACUAUAAAAAUAUAAAUAUUAAUUGUAAUAUAAUGAGGUGUCCAAAGUCAAGGGAUUUUGAUCAAACUUUGAAUACCAUUAAGGUUUUAGUCAAAGAAUGUUAAGGAUUAGGGACAACAUCCAAAAUAUCCCUAAAUAUAUACUCUUCGUUGUUUUUGUUUUUUUAAUUUAUUGGACUUUAUUUAUUCACAAGUAAUGCUAGAGAGAAUAAAUUUAGAGACAAAUUUUGCAAACAAAAUGAUGUGUCACCAAUAGAAAAUGAGCACGUUUAUCAAUGCUUAAGUAAUAAUCUAAGGGUAAUGCUAGGGAGACUAAAUUUGCAAACUAAAUGAUGUGUCAGCAAUAUGAAUAAACACGUUUAUUAACGUUUAAGUUAUAAAUCAAUCAUCUACUUCCAUGUCCCUUAGUUUCCAAAACUUCGUGUACAAAUUUAGUCUCCCUAGCAUUCAUAAUUUAAUCAUCAACUUCCAUGUCAUUUAGUUUACAAAAUUUAGCCUACAAAUUUAGUCUUUCUAGCAUUACCCUUUAUUCAUAGAUUAUUUUUCCCCAGUGUUGUGGAGAGAAAGUGACUUGGAGCAAAACCAAGCGCAAUGACUUUUUAUGAUUCAUACAACCUACACCACUUAGGGGGACAAAACUUGGUUGUUGUUGUUGCUAUGGAGAGAAAUGGCAUUUAACUUUGAAAGAUCAAUUCAUAUAGAUAACUAAAAAUUGAAGAGAAAAAGAAGAUAUCUUCAUUUGUGCAAUCAGAACCUACCCAGCUAUACAAAAUGUGCCGUCUCAGUUUCUCAGAGAAAGAAAUUAUAAUAUGUAGCGGGAGGUGUUGAUGGAAAAUUGAAGAUGGGUUUUUAUAUUGUUGUCAAAUUGAUGUUUAAAAUCAUAAACGACAUCAAGUUUGAAAUCACAAACAGGAUAAAAAGCAGCAGUGAAGGAGGAGAAAUACGACGGAAAAAACUGAGGAACACGCACGAAGAGGAAGAUGCACAACAAAACCUAACUGCAAUAGGGCAAAUGUCUGUUUGGAAAUUCAUUUUCUUAAAAAGAGAAAACUAAAUUUAAUUGUGAUUAAAAUUAACGUGUUUAUUUUAUAUGAGUGAUACAACAUUUGCUUUGCAAAUUCUUUUAAAAAAUUGAUCUACUUAGUAUUACUCUAAUUACAAUAAUAGAGAUAAUGCGAAAUGCAGAUAAAUGUACAAAUUCUAAAUAUAGAGACUUGGAAUCCAAAUCAAACAUUGUAUGAGACAAAUUUUUGCUUGCACGGAGGCUCAAGGCCAGAGCAAAACGCGAAACACAGUCCAAGUCCUAGACAAAAUUGUAAUUUGGCCAAUUUUUUAGUAUCAUUUAUAGUAUUACAGCACAACUUUUUUUUAAUUGUGUUGAAUAAAAAUUUGUGAGUGUUGUAGACAUAAUUACUAAACAAUUAUGGAGACAGAGAGAGAGAGGGAGGUGUGGCACAUAGAGAGAGAAAAGAGAGAUGUGUAAUUGUGAGGUGUGCAUUAUCUCACCCCACUAUGCCUUUAUUUAUAGUAGUAGGUGAUAUGAGCAUAUUUAUGCGCCUUAGUUAGCUAGUUCUUAUGUAUUUCCAUGGUGUUUUCUUAGUUAAAGUAGUCUUUUAAGCUAGUUUUAUGUGUUUUCAGGUUUUAAGGCCAAAGGAUGCAAGAAGAUGCAUUUUGGAGCUUUUGGAGCAAAAUUGGGCUUGGAAUGAUUAUCACAUAAUUGGAGCCAAGGUUUGGACGAAUUUGAAGACUUGAAGAUGAUGAUUCCUACUUGAACAAGGUUUCCUAGUUGAAGUAGGAAAGUGCUUACAUGAAGGAGGAUUCCUAAUCGACGAAGGAUUCCUAAUCGACGAAGGAUUCCUAAUCAACGAAGGAUUCCUAAUUGAAGAUGGAUUCCUAAUCACAUGAGGACUCCUAGAAGAACAAGGAUUCCUCCUCCAACAAGGAUUCCUACUUGAAGUAGGAAAGUUAAGCCAAGGUUUCCUACUUUGGUUUGAUUUUUCCUAAUUGUCCCUAAAAGUUCCAGCAAUUAUGAAGACUUUCUAAGCAUUCUAGGACACAAAACAAAAGCCUAGAACCCUUUUGAACCCUUGCCGCACCCCCCCUUUGCAUUUCCUCUUCCUUAUUUCCUGUUUUUAUGCUUUAAAACACCUUCCUUUUGUGU